AGUGAACGCUGGCGGUAGGCCUAACACAUGCAAGUCGAACGGCAGCACAGUAAGAGCUUGCUCUUACGGGUGGCGAGUGGCGGACGGGUGAGGAAUACAUCGGAAUCUACUUUUUCGUGGGGGAUAACGUAGGGAAACUUACGCUAAUACCGCAUACGACCUACGGGUGAAAGCAGGGGAUCUUCGGACCUUGCGCGAUUGAAUGAGCCGAUGUCGGAUUAGCUAGUUGGCGGGGUAAAGGCCCACCAAGGCGACGAUCCGUAGCUGGUCUGAGAGGAUGACCGCCCACAUGGGAACGGAGACGCGGCCCAGCCCCCGCCGGAGGGAGGAAGGGGGAAAUUUGGAACAAGGGGCGCAGGCCUGACCCACCAUUACGGGGUGGGGAAAAACGGCCUUGGGUUGGAAAACCCCUUUGUUGGGAAAAAAAAACCAGCAGGUAACUACCCCCUUGUCCGGACGUUCCCAAAAAAAAAAACACCGGCAAUCUUGGGC
rnacentral:rRNA from 1 species